GUCUAUGGCCAUGCUACCCUGAACAAGCCUGAUCCUGUCUGAUCUCAGAAGCUAAGCAGGAUUGGGCCUGGUUAGUACUUGGAUGGGAGAUCACCUAGGAAGACUAGGUGUUGAAGGAG
rnacentral:rRNA from 1 species